UACGUAGAGGGCAAGCGUUGUCCGGAAUCAUUGGGCGUAAAGAGCGUGUAGGCGGCCCGAUAAGUCCGCUGUGAAAGUCCAGGGCUCAACCCUGAGAUGCCGGUGGAUACUGUCGGGCUCGAGUCCGGAAGAGGAGUGUGGAAUUCCUGGUGUAGCGGUGAAAUGCGCAGAUAUCAAGAAGAACACCAAUGGCGAAGGCAGCACUCUGGGACGUGACUGACGCUGAGACGCGAAAGCGUGGAGAGCAAACAGG
rnacentral:rRNA from 1 species